AAUUAAAAUAACUUGGAAAUUAAAAUAACUCCCUCCUUGCAAGGUUCUUGUGAGAAUGAAGAGAGAACAUCUUCAUUGUGCCCGGCAUACAGUAGGCCUGAACGUGCAGUAGGUUAACCCAUAAGGAAUCGCCAGUUUUCAAGUCACGGUCUCACCUCAUUAUCUUUUUCAUUACCAUGACCAUCAUUAACUAAGUGCUCUUGGACAUACUACUUUGUCUCUAAGUCUCCUCAUCCAAAGCAAGAGAAAUGAUGGGCCAAGCAGCCCGUGUAAGACCUGGCACAAGCAGAUGCUCAAUAAUCCUAGGUCCCCUCUCCAUCCCCUCCUCAUAUAGUCAUUUCUUUAUUGGCUGCCACGGGUUGCGGGUUGCGGCGGGGUGGGGGUGGGGCUCUCUUUUUCUGAUGGUCACAGCCCAGGAGGCACAAAAACAGUGACCAAGAGAAGAGAGAAUAAGGAGCUGGUUUUGAAAUCAUCUUCUCAGAGAAGUUUUAAAAGUUAAAAAAAAAACAAAACCACAUGUUUUUAAAAACCUGGCACAGAGCAACACUGUCGGUCAUGCCCAAGGCUUCCCCUGGGCCCUGGGGCAGGAGGCCAGGGCCCUGCUGAUAGGCCGCUCCUUCUCCACUCUCCCCUGCCAGCACUGUCCCAGAACCUGAGCAGGAGUCAACAGGAAAAUCAUUUCUGUGUGUUCUGGGUCACAGAUGAGCAAAUGCCAGAAUGUUCUUUUGGCAGCUGGAUGCUACCUGGAGCCACAGUGGAGCAGAAUAUUCCAGAUCUGGGAAGGCCCUGACGUCUCUGAGUCCAGCCUCCUGCCUAGAUGGGCAGCUGUCACACCUAGCUCUCCAAGGAUAGAAAUGUUAUCCCACCCCUAAUUCCCCCUGUAGGGUUCCCUUCCUUUUGUCCUCCUCUGCCUUUCCUUCCUUUAUCCGUCCAUCUCAUGGCCCCGCAGCAUCUUCCUGCUCUCACAGGGGGCCCACUCAGGAGUCAUACAGGGAAGAACACAAUGCCCCUGCCCCUGCCCGCUUCUUCCUCACUGGACUCUCGUUAUCUAUUUAGCAUCUAACUCUUCCACCAGCCUGGACCCAGGAGAAACUGAACCCAGAGGAUACACGCCGAGACCCCCAUGGGAUGUCUGAAACUGCCGAUAGUACCAAACCUAGACACAAGCAUUGUGAAACCUCCACGGUUGAUCUAAUAACCAAGAUGGCUAGUAACUGAGACCAUGGAACACAAAACCACGGAGAAGGGAGACUGCUACAGUUGUUUAAUGUUAAGUGAAUGAAUAGCUCGGCUCUGGGGGAACAUUUUUGGUGAGAAGAUGCCGGCUGCUUUGAAGGGAGUCUGUUCCCCUGAAGGGAACAGGCCGGAGGUGGUGGGCCCAAGCCCAGGCAGGCACAGCUGGUCCCCAGGCCUCCUAAUGCUGGAGGUGUCAUCCCCUAAGAGGCCACUGCUACUCAGAAGCUUCCCAUAAUUCUCCUCACCAGGAGUGGGGGAUCCCCAAGCCUGGAAAUUCCCAGUAGGUUCAUCCCACUCCACCCUACAGCACCACGGGCCUGGUCAUUCUCAACACAAUUUCUUGGAAGGAAAAAUUGGCUCAAAAUCAGAAGUUCUGGAAUUCACUACAGGAAGUGGCUAUAUGAAUAAGAGGAAAGGUUUCUGAUUAAAGAGUCAAGAAUUCUGGGUUUCGAUUCCCACUUUAGAAAACAUGGGCAUGGAUUGGGUCCUGGGUUCAACUCCAGCUCUGCUGGUAAGUCAGAUACUUCACUGAGCCCUCAUUUCCUCUUUUGAAAAGGGAUUACAAUAUCUGCCUAGCAGGUUCUUGUGGGGAUUACAGAGGAAGCAGCUGGGGCAAUAGUCAGCAGGCAUGCAAAGAUUUUCACUUACUUCUUGGUGAGUAGCUGCUAUCCCCUGAGGGCCCCUAGCCCAGCAGGAUUCACAAAAGGUUAACAUCUAGUCCAGUAGGGGACUACACCAUCCUGGGGCCCAAAUUGAACUAAAUGGGUAAGAACAAAAUGCUCUGUAAACUGCAAAGUGCCCUGACCUCCACAUUCGCACCUCCAGCUCAGAUCUACCUCCUGAAUAUGGAUAUUCGCCCUGUUUCCAGGACCUUCCACAUGGAUGUCUUGCUCACCACUAUCAAAUUGAGCUGUUUGUCAAAGGAAUUGGCUCCGCCUCUGCCCAGUUGCUCCAGGAAGGAGCCUUCAGUCUCCCAAGACUCUUUCAUACCCAGUCUCUCCCCUGUUCAGCAGUUCUGUUUUUCCUCUAAGUUCACAGACCCAUCCCUCCUUCCUGGCCCUACCUGCCUCAUUCCCUCAUCAUUUCUCUGCUAAGUUGUAACAACCACCUCCACGCUGACCCUUGGGCACCAAUGUAUCCUUCCAUUUUAUUCUCAUACUGUGGGCAGAACCACUUUCCAAAAGCAAGGGCUUUCUCAUUGAACCCCCAAUGAAACAUCACCAUCACCCAUCAUUGACAUCCAUCAAUGAUGGUUGAUGCAGGGAAGUAGACCUUCUGGAAUGUUCAUUGCAUGAUGUGAAGAACAACUCCCCAUUGCCUCCAAGAUAAAUCGUGAAUGUCUGUUUCCCAGGCUCAACAUGCUAUUUCACACCUCUUUGCUUUUGCACAUGUUAUUUCAUCUGCCUGGAAUGCCUCGAAAUGGAAAAGAGAAAUCCUAUUCUCCCAGCCAAUUCCUACUCCUGCUAAGCUCUGCCUCCCCUGGGAAACCUUCUAUUCAUUCCUCCAAAGCUGAUGCUUCCUGAGCCCUGGGCAUAGCUGCUGGGUGCUGAUCUGCCCUUAUGGACAGACCCCCAGCUUCAUCUUGGCUCAGAUGCACAGGGCCUGGCUACUCGGUGACUUGGAUUCAUUUUGUGCUGGAGUGGGAUGUCUUGGGCAGCAGCUGCCAAGGAGAAGAAACUUCAAGUGAGAUUUGGAAGCACGAGAGUACCCAGCCUGUCUGGGGGAGGCUGCACGGUGUCUCGUAUUGCUCAUCCUGACGGUGGUUGUCAUCCUUCUCCCCCUCAUCACUACCAUCAUCAUCAUCACCCAGUCAUCAGGGUCUUGCUUUCAGGAUGCUGACCACAUGCAAGGCUCAAGGCCAUGAGUUUGACGGCAGGCCUCCCUAUAAUCUUUAUUUUAUCUUCAAUAUUAGUAACUCCCCCAAGUUGGUACUGCAAGUAUCACUAUUUUAUAGAUAUGGAAAUUGAGGUUCAGGAAGGCUAAGAGCUCUGCCCAAGGUCACUCAUCUGGUUAGUGAUGGGGCUAGCUAAUCCAGGGAUGCUCUCAUUUACCAUAUUAGUGGGCAGCUGGCCACACUGAUCUCAUCCCUUCUGAGUCCCUCCCACCCCAUCACUGUCUGCGGAACUCCUUUCCUAAGUGAACAGACUUUCCACUGAGAUGUUGGGUGGGCCCGGCUGGAGCAACCAUGAGACCUGGGAGGGCACUUGGGAGGGGGGAAAGAGGACAUUCAGAUCCCUGUGUACCCUUCUAGAUCUCAACAACAUGGUGUUUGAUUUA